rnacentral:rRNA from 1 species
GUGAGGAAUUUUCCGCAAUGGGCGAAAGCCUGACGGAGCAAUGCCGCGUGAAGGAUGAAGGCCUAUGGGUUAUAAACUUCUUUUCUCAGAAAAGAAUUAUGACGGUAUCUGAGGAAUAAGCAUCGGCUAACUCUGUGCCAGCAGCCGCGGUAAGACAGAGGAUGCAAGCGUUAUCCGGAAUGAUUGGGCGUAAAGCGUCUGUAGGUUGUUUAAAAAGUAUUCUGUCAAAGAUUAGGGCUUAACCCUAGAUAGACAGAAUAAACUUUUAAGCUAGAGUUUGGUAGAAGCAGAGGGAAUUCCCGGUGGAGCGGUGAAAUGCGUAGAUAUCGGGAGGAACACCAAAGGCGAAGGCACUCUGCUGGGCCAAUACUAACACUGAGAGACGAAAGCGAGGGGAGCAAAUGGGAUUAGAAACCCGUGUAGUCC